CCUACGGGAGGCUGCAGUAGGGAAUCUUCCACAAUGGGCGCAAGCCUGAUGGAGCAACACCGCGUGAGUGAAGAAGGUUUUCGGCUCGUAAAACUCUGUUGUUGGAGAAGAACGAGCGUGAGCGUAACUGUUCACGCAGUGACGGUAUCCAACCAGAAAGUCACGGCUAACUACGUGCCAGCAGCCGCGGUAAUACGUAGGUGGCAAGCGUUAUCCGGAUUUAUUGGGCGUAAAGCGAGCGCAGGCGGUUGCUUAGGUCUGAUGUGAAAGCCUUCGGCUUAACCGAAGAAGUGCAUCGGAAACUGGGGAACUUGAGUGCAGAAGAGGAGAGUGGAAGUCCAUGUGUAGCGGUGGAAGGCGUAGAUAUAUGGAAGAACACCAGUGGCGAAGGCGGCUGUCUGGUCUGCAACUGACGCUGAGGCUCGAAAGCGUGGGUAGCGAACAGGAUUAGAUACCCCAGUAGUC
rnacentral:rRNA from 1 species